rnacentral:rRNA from 1 species
AUUGAACGCUGGCGGCAGGCCUAACACAUGCAAGUCGAGCGGAUGAGAGGAGCUUGCUCCUCGAUUCAGCGGCGGACGGGUGAGUAAUGCCUAGGAAUCUGCCUAGUAGUGGGGGACAACGUUUCGAAAGGAACGCUAAUACCGCAUACGUCCUACGGGAGAAAGUGGGGGAUCUUCGGGCCUCACACCAUCGGAUGUGCCCAGAUGGGAUUAGCUAGUAGGUGGGGUAAUGGCUCACCUAGGCGACGAUCCCUAGCUGGUCUGAGAGGAUGACCAGCCACACUGGAACUGAGACACGGUCCAGACUCCUACGGGAGGCAGCAGUGGGGAAUAUUGCACAAUGGGCGCAAGCCUGAUGCAGCCAUGCCGCGUGUAUGAAGAAGGCCUUCGGGUUGUAAAGUACUUUCAGCGGGGAGGAAGGCGGUGAAGUUAAUAGCUUCACCGAUUGACGUUACCCGCAGAAGAAGCACCGGCUAACUCCGUGCCAGCCGCCGCGGUAA